rnacentral:rRNA from 1 species
UNNNNGUUNCNGCNGUCGACGAUUCCUACGGGAGGCAGCAGUAGGGAAUAUUGCACAAUGGGCGAAAGCCUGAUGCAGCAACGCCGCGUGCGCGAUGAAGGCCUUCGGGUCGUAAAGCGCUUUUCUGAGAGAUGAGAAAGGACAGUAUCUCAGGAAUAAGUCUCGGCUAACUACGUGCCAGCAGCCGCGGUAAAACGUAGGAGGCGAGCGUUAUCCGGAUUCACUGGGCGUAAAGCGCGUGCAGGUGGCUUGGUAAGUUGGGCGUGAAAUCUCCCGGCUCAACUGGGAGAGGUCGUCCAAUACUACCAAGCUCGAGAGCAGAAGAGGAAGAUGGAAUUCCCGGUGUAGUGGUGAAAUGCGUAGAUAUCGGGAGGAACACCAGUGGCGAAGGCGAUCUUCUGGUCUGUUUCUGACACUCAGACGCGACAGCUAGGGUAGUAAACGGGAUUAGAGACCCCGGUAAUCCUAGCCGUAAACGAUGUGAACUUGGCGUUGGUGGGUUAAACUCCAUCAGUGCCGUAGCAAACGCGAUAAGUUCACCGCCUGGGGACUACGGCCGCAAGGUUAAAACUCAAAGGAAUUGACGG